AUUGAACGCUGGCGGCAGGCCUAACACAUGCAAGUCGAGCGGAUGAAGGGAGCUUGCUCCUGGAUUCAGCGGCGGACGGGUGAGUAAUGCCUAGGAAUCUGCCUGGUAGUGGGGGAUAACGUCCGGAAACGGGCGCUAAUACCGCAUACGUCCUGAGGGAGAAAGUGGGGGAUCUUCGGACCUCACGCUAUCAGAUGAGCCUAGGUCGGAUUAGCUAGUUGGUGGGGUAAAGGCCUACCAAGGCGACGAUCCGUAACUGGUCUGAGAGGAUGAUCAGUCACACUGGAACUGAGACACGGUCCAGACUCCUACGGGAGGCAGCAGUGGCGAAUAUUGGACAAUGGGCGAAAGCCUGAUCCAGCCAGGCCGCGUGUGUGAAGAAGGUCUUCGGAUUGUAAAGCACUUUAAGUUGGGAGGAAGGGCAGUAAGUUAAUACCUUGCUGUUUUGACGGUACCAACAGAAGAAGCACCGGCUAACUUCGUG
rnacentral:rRNA from 1 species